rnacentral:rRNA from 1 species
AAUUCGAUUGAGUUUGAUCAUGGCUCAGAACGAACGCUGGCGGCAGGCCUAACACAUGCAAGUCGAACGAGAAGCCACCUUCGGGUGGUGGACAGUGGCAGACGGGUGAGUAACGCGUGGGAACGUGCCUUUCGGUUCGGGAUAACCCAGGGAAACUUGGGCUAAUACCGGAUACGCCCUUCGGGGGAAAGAUUCAUUGCCGAAAGAUCGGCCCGCGUCGGAUUAGCUAGUUGGUGGGGUAAAAGCCUACCAAGGCGACGAUCCGUAGCUGGUCUGAGAGGAUGACCAGCCACACUGGGACUGAGACACGGCCCAGACUCCUACGGGAGGCAGCAGUGGGGAAUAUUGGACAAUGGGCGCAAGCCUGAUCCAGCCAUGCCGCGUGGGUGAAGAAGGCCUUAGGGUUGUAAACCCCUUUCAGCGGGGAAGAUAACGACGGUACCCGCAGAAGAAGUCCCGGCUAACUCCGUGCCAGCAGCCGCGGUAAUACGGAGGGGACUAGCGUUGUUCGGAAUUACUGGGCGUAAAGCGCACGUAGGCGGAUUUGUAAGUCAGGGGUGAAAUCCCGAGGCUCAACCUCGGAACUGCCUUUGAUACUGCAAAUCUCGAGUCCGGAAGAGGUGAGUGGAAUUCCUAGUGUAGAGGUGAAAUUCGUAGAUAUUAGGAAGAACACCAGUGGCGAAGGCGGCUCACUGGUCCGGUACUGACGCUGA